GGCGUGGGCUGCGAGGGGCCGCGGGUGCCCGGCCCAACCCCAGCCCUGGGGUGUGAUGGCUGGAGCUCCAGCAACCAUGUUGUGACCGGGAGGCAACCUCAAAGACGGAAGUCACGCACUGAGGGUGGUGGAGCAGAAAGAAGCCCGAGGCAUCAGUGAUGACAGGACAGUGCCACGCUAGCCCCGGACUGUCUGCCCAUGAAUGGGCAGAUGUUUCCCUGGAGGAAGGUCUCUCGUGAUGUGCCGCCAGCUCUGUUCCCAGUCUUGUCCGGGGCAGCCUAUGGUCUUGAAUGAAGAUAUGAACAGACUUCAUGUAGGGUGCUGGCGCGUGACUCUGGGCACAGCCAGGGAAGCCCAAUGACAAGGCCGUGCCAGGCAGAGCAUCGUUGGUGUCACCGGGAGGCCCAGAGACUGACAGCCACCAGGAGGAGGUCACAGAGCAGCUGCUGGAGCUGGAGCUCCCUGCCCCAGUCUUCCCAGGCCUUCUGUAACGUCAGUGCCCAGCGCUGCCUGCAUAGCCAUUCAGGGCGCGAACCCAGGACUUCGGGCCGCUGUUCUCCUCUUGCUCAGGCUCCAUCGUGCUCUGCCUCUCUGCACACUGAUGGACGGAUGAGCAAACGGGCCCAGAAAAGACCAUCGGCCUGUCGGGGUCACAGAGCCCAUCACGCCGGCGCUGAGCCAGCUUCACCCCUUCGUAGGCCAGCCCGGCACCUCUGGCACCUCUGGCACCUCUGCUUAGCUCCCCGUGCCCACCACUCCCACCCUGCCCUGGCCCUGGCUCUGGCUCCAGGGAAGAGGCCUCUCUCUGACUGGUCAGAGGUCCCUUUGACAUGGAGCAGGGUUCCAGGGGGCUUGAGGGCAUCACCCCCGCCUGGCACCCUCACUCUCAGGGCAGCCCUCCUGGAGGAAAGGAGCCAUCGAGCCCCCCAGACUCAGAGGUGGCAGGGGCAACACCAGCUGUGGCCCCAGACAGAGCCAGACGGACCCCAGCUCUGCCCCUUGCAGCCAUGUGACAGGGGACACCCUCUCGCCACUCUGUUGCCUCAUCAACCAAGCGAGUCCGUAACACCUGCGUUGCAGCAGGGCUGUGAGCUGUGACCCAGCCGGGCCCCAGCACAGUGCCAGGCCCCAGGGGGCAGGCUUAGCGUGCACGUGGGUGCUGCACGAAGCGUGUCUGUGGGUGUCAUUCGAUCCUUGCCACGUCUUCACAGUCGGUGCCACACCCCGCGAGGCACAGAAGCAGGAGCUGGGGCUCAGAGACAGUGAGUAACACAGCUCACCCACCGGUCCCCUGAGGCUGGAAGCCGUGGAGGAUGCGAAACAGUAGAUCUUGGCACUUCUCCCAAACACAUGAAGCCAGACACCGGGUACCGCGCAGCCCAGCUGGAGGGCUUCGUGCAUGAAGUAGCUGUUAGGACAGGGUGCUGACGCCAACCCGAGCGGCCAGGUUGUUACACCUGCCCCAGAGUGACAACACCAGCCAGAGGCCGGGGUGGCAACAGGCCAACCCCCGAGGCUGCCAGGCCGAAGGCUCACCCCUCCCUCAGCCCAGAUGGUCCAGCAACCUGACCAGAUGCAGCCUGGGAUAGCUUCCUCAUGGUGGCUCCCCCAACGGGGGUGGCAUCCAGGACGGCCUGCCUCCAGGAGGAAUGGAUUGCUGAUCCCCUCACUCCAGCGGGAAUGGGGCCUCACUCCCGGCCCUCGCUGAUGCAGACCUGGAUGCAGCAGGCCCCUAGGAUCCCAUUAGACAAAUUGGAACAAAGGUGCAAGAACAUUCAUUUAUUUGCAUAAGGUCCCCAGCAGGUGAGGACAGCCCGAGACCUAGGUAUUGGACUUCAAGCUCUGUGAUCCUGCUUCCUUUUACCUGCUGAGCUGGCCCAACACCCGGGGCUGGGCGCCCGCAGGAGGCCCGAGUGGCAGGGGCUGGUGCCCUGGGAUGGCUCAGGUG